rnacentral:rRNA from 1 species
GAAAUGGCUGCUAAUACCGCAUAAGCCUACAGCCUCGCAUGAGGGAGCAGGAGAAGAAAUUCGGUGCAGGAUGAGUCCGCGUCUGAUUAGCUAGUUGGAGGGGUAAAAGCCCACCAAGGCAACGAUCAGUAGCCGGCCUGAGAGGGCGACCGGCCACAUUGGGACUGAGACACGGCCCAAACUCCUACGGGAGGCAGCAGUGGGGAAUAUUGCACAAUGGGGGAAACCCUGAUGCAGCGACGCCGCGUGAGCGAGGAAGUAUUUCGGUAUGUAAAGCUCUAUCAGCAGGGACGAAAAAAGACGGUACCUGACUAAGAAGCCCCGGCUAACUACGUGCCAGCAGCCGCGGUAAUACGUAGGGGGCAAGCGUUAUCCGGAUUUACUGGGUGUAAAGGGAGCGUAGACGGCAAGGCAAGCCAGAAGUGAAAGGGCAGGGCUCAACCCUGUACAUGCUUUUGGAACUGUGGUGCUAGAGUGCAGGAGAGGUAAGUGGAAUUCCUAGUGUAGCGGUGGAAUGCGUAGAUAUUAGGAGGAACACCAGUGGCGAAGGCGGCUUACUGGACUGUAACUGACGUUGAGGCUCGAAAGCGUGGGGAGCAAACAGGAUUAGAUACCCUGGUAGUCC